UUUGAUGGUUGAAGAGCUAGCAAAGUGGAAAGCAUCUCUCAACCAGAAAGUUGCUACUUAUGAAGAGAUCAUACGUCAGUUACGCUGUGAAAGGAACUGUGUUCGCGAAUCAUUGCUGCAGACAUUCAAAAACCUUCAUGUGCUCCAAACAAAUUAUGAUUUAGCAGCUUUGGUGAACUCGCCAAACAGUAGAGGAGAUUGUGUGCCUAAAACAAGCAAUAUACUUGAUUUGGCUUCAUCAAACUAUAGAAUCAGUGAGAAUUUGAAGGUUCAACUAUUGGGUGCUGACGCAAGUAAAUAUGAGGCCGCAAAUUUGAGCACUUUAAAUUCUGAGACUUCUGCUGAGCAAUUGUCAAAUCAGGCACUGUCAAUGCCUCUGGAGCUGUUGAAGCGGACUGACGAUGCAUGUAGUGCUGUAAUCGGAGCGGCAGUAGCAUUAAAUGCUACCAUCCACAAUCCCAACUGUCAUCACUGCACUGGGAAAGUGCAAGUGCUCUGA
rnacentral:lncRNA from 1 species